UACGAAGGGGGCUAGCGUUGUUCGGAAUUACUGGGCGUAAAGCGCGCGCAGGCGGUCUUCCAAGUCAGUGGUGAAAGCCCGGAGCUCAACUCCGGAACUGCCAUUGAAACUGUAAGACUUGAGGACGAGAGAGGUGAGUGGAAUUCCCAGUGUAGAGGUGAAAUUCGUAGAUAUUGGGAAGAACACCGGUGGCGAAGGCGGCUCACUGGCUCGUAUCUGACGCUCAGGCGCGAAAGCGUGGGGAUCAAACAGG
rnacentral:rRNA from 1 species